CUUGGUCAUUUAGAGGAAGUAAAAGUCGUAACAAGGUCUCCGUAGGUGAACCUGCGGAAGGAUCAUUAGUGAAUUAAACAUGCUUGGUGUCUUCGCUUCGGCAAGGCCCUUGCUUAAAUCACAUCCUAACACCUGUGAACUGUAAGACGUAUGAUGAGGUCUUUGGCCAAGUCAUCGUCUGCCCAUUUUUAACAAACAAUUAAUGUAACAAACGUAGUCUUAUUAUAACCUAAUAAAACUUUCAACAACGGAUCUCUUGGCUCUCGCAUCGAUGAAGAACGCAGCGAAAUGCGAUAAGUAAUGUGAAUUGCAGAAUUCAGUGAAUCAUCGAAUCUUUGAACGCACCUUGCGCUCUUUGGUAUUCCGAAGAGCAUGCCUGUUUGAGUGUCAUGAAAAUAUCAACCUUGACUUGGGUUUUGUGCUCUAGUCUUGGCUUGGAAUUGGGUGCUUGCCGCUUUUACGAGCGGCUCACCUUAAAUGUAUUAGCUGGAUCUGUCUUUGAGACUUGGUUUGACUUGGCGUAAUAAGUAUUUCGCUAAGGACAUUCUUCGGAGUGGCCUCGUUUCUAGGACGCUUGUCCGCUUCCCAAUACAAGUUCCACCUCGUGGACAUGACUUUUUUAUUAUCUGGCCUCAAAUCAGGUAGGACUACCCGCUGAACUUAAGCAUAUCAAUAAGCGGAGGA
rnacentral:rRNA from 1 species